ensembl:lncRNA
GUGUUAGUAAUAUGUUCCCAGGAAAAGAGCACAUAAGACGCCAGAUGGAAGGGCAUGGGCUGAAUUCUGGAGACUGAGUGUACAUCAAGAUACACCGGGCUGGGGAUAUACUUCUUACAGCACCUGCAGUGGUAAAGAUCGUCAUGUCUCUCUUUGAUGGGUGCAUAAGUUUCACAAGAAGUAAGGUCCAGCUGAAUAAUGGUCUUUUGUUUAGGAAACCAGAUGGAGAAGGGUUCUCCAGCUUCAGCUGGAAUGUCAGUUUGUGUGAUGAGUGAUGGAAGUAAGAGAAUGUAUGGUGUAAUCGUAGAACAGAGGCCAUAAGUCUUUAAGUAUGAAUGCCCCACAGAAAGAAGGCAGAAACCUGAACCAGGACGAGAGGUUCCACAUCUGAUGAUCCAAGGAGACCAGAAGGACCUCUCCCAGUGAUACCAGGAGAUCCAGUCUACGGUCGAGUGUUCCGAAGGAAGUGGGAUCAGCCGAGGAGGGAAGGAACCUACGAGGUGGCAACGGCCACAAACACGGCCGUCCAAGUGAAAGGAAGCAAGACGUGGUAUCAUCUAAACCACGGCACCCGAGUCCCGACGGAGAGAAGGACACAAUCAUACAGAGAUGAGGACACAGAGGAUGCUUAUUCACCAGAGGGGACCCCGGAGGGAGCAGGAGCAGCGGAAUCGAUCAAAGCCCCGGGGAGGACUCAAGAAAAUGGCAGACCAAAUACAACGAGUGCAUCAGCUAACACAAUCCGAAGAAGCACAAGGGGAAAAGAGCCUGAAAAGAAAAGAGACAAACGACCAAAGUUUCCUCCAGUAUGGCCAGAAAGCCCAGAAGUGGGAGGGGGUAACAUGUCUGCCACUCCUGAUGAUAUACCUGUUGGGGCAGGCCUCUUUGACAGAAGCCCUCUACAGAGGGUCUCCGAGGUAUUGCCUAAAGAAUGGGAACCUCUCUUCCCUGAAAUGGACACCUUCCAAAUGGAAGCCCAGUCUGGCCUGAGGAGGGAGCUUCAGGGGAAGAAAGAAG